rnacentral:rRNA from 1 species
UACGAGGGGGGCGAGCGUUGUUCGGAAUUAUUGGGCGUAAAGGGUGCGUAGGCGGUUUGGUAAGUCUUGUGUGAAAUCUACAGGCUCAACUUGUAGUCUGCACGAGAAACUGCCGGGCUUGAGUGCGGUAGGGGAGAUUGGAAUUCCUGGUGUAGCGGUGGAAUGCGCAGAUAUCAGGAGGAACACCGAUGGCGAAGGCAGAUCUCUGGGCCGUAACUGACGCUGAGGAGCGAAAGCAUGGGGAGCGAACAGG